UACGUAGGUGACAAGCGUUGUUCGGAAUUACUGGGCGUAAAGGGCGCGUAGGCGGCUCGACAAGUCCCGCGUGAAAGCCCCCGGCUCAACUGGGGAACUGCGCGGGAAACUGUCGGACUUGAGUUCGGGAGAGGGAAGCGGAAUUCCGGGUGUAGCGGUGAAAUGCGUAGAUAUCCGGAGGAACACCGGUGGCGAAGGCGGCUUCCUGGACCGACACUGACGCUGAGGCGCGAAAGCUAGGGGAGCAAACGGG
rnacentral:rRNA from 1 species